GACGAACGCUGGCGGCGUGCCUAAUACAUGCAAGUCGAGCGGACCGAAUGAGAGCUUGCUCUUAUUUGGUCAGCGGCGGACGGGUGAGUAACACGUGGCCAACCUGCCCGCAAGACCGGGAUAACUCCGGGAAACCGGAGCUAAUACCGGAUAACACCGAAGACCGCAUGGUCUUUGGUUGAAAGGCGGCCUUUGGCUGUCACUUGCGGAUGGGCCCGCGGCGCAUUAGCUAGUUGGUGAGGUAACGGCUCACCAAGGCGACGAUGCGUAGCCGGCCUGGGAGGGUGACCGGCCACACUGGGACUGAGACACGGCCCAGACUCCUACGGGAGGCAGCAGUAGGGAAUCUUCCGCAAUGGGCGAAAGCCUGACGGAGCGACGCCGCGUGAGCGAAGAAGGCCUUCGGGUCGUAAAGCUCUGUUGUGAGGGACGAAGGAGCGCCGUUUGAACAAGGCGGCGCGGUGACGGUACCUCACGAGAAAGCCCCGGCUAACUACGUGCCAGCAGCCGCCGUAAUAC
rnacentral:rRNA from 1 species